rnacentral:tRNA from 1 species
GGAGGUGGUAGAGUCCUGGUGGGCUCCGCGGUCUUCAAAACCGUAAGCAGGGCGCUAGUACCGUUCUGGGUGGGUUCGAUUCCCAUGCACCUCC